CCGUCAGCCCAUUUGGCUCACUUUUCCUAAAUUAGGAAACUAAAAUUAACUGAAUUAUUGUUCUUGAAAAUUGAAAAUAAACUCUGUUGCUUGUCAUAUUGCUUACAUACAUAAUAAGUUGCUUGUCAUAUUGCUUACAUACAUAAUAAGUUGCUUGUCAUAUUGCUUACAUACAUAAUAAGCUGUUAUCUUCAUUGUCAUUUAUUCAAACGGUACACUGAUACGCCAAAUACUAAAACAUCCCGUGUAUACGCUCAAACCUACAGACACAAACAGUGUUACAGUGGCCUUAAACCCCAUAGCCAACUCCCACCUCUA
rnacentral:lncRNA from 1 species